CUCCGAAGAAGAAGAUGCCUCUACUGCUGAGCAGGCAUUUUUUCAGGUGCAUUGGAUGCGACUCAGGUGAGGACAGGGGAACUGUAGGCUCAAGUGAGAGGACUGAUGUAGCAGCUCCAGCUCUCCAGGUGCACUGGAUGCAGGUCAAGUAGGACAGAGGACCUGGAGCGACAAGUAAGAAGACUGACCACAUGCAGCGGCUCCAGCUCUCCAUAUAUUGUGUCUGGGAUACGGAUGCAGAUGCAGACUACACAAAGCACAGAAGAUGGGCCUAGAUGCACAGCUACAC